ACUGCUCAGUAACACGUGGAUAACCUACCCUAAGGAAGGGGAUAACCUCGGGAAACUGAGGAUAAUACCCUAUAGGUUACAGACGCUGGAAUGCCCUGUAACCGAAAGCUCCGGCGCCUUAGGAUGGAUCUGCGGCCGAUUAGGUUGUUGUUGGGGUAACGGCCCAACAAGCCGAUAAUCGGUACGGGUUGUGGGAGCAAGAGCCCGGAGUUGGAUUCUGAGACAUGAAUCCAGGCCCUACGGGGCGCAGCAGGCGCGAAAACUUUACAAUGCGGGAAACCGUGAUAAGGGAACCCCGAGUGCCUGUAUAUGCAGGCUGUCCAGGUGUCUAAAAAACACCUGAAGAAAGGGCCGGGCAAGACCGGUGCCAGCCGCCGCGGUAAUACCGGCGGCUCGAGUGGUGGCCACUUUUAUUGGGCUUAAAGCGUUCGUAGCUGGGUUGUUAAGUCUCUUGGGAAAUCUGACGGCUCAACCGUCAGGCGUCCAAGGGAUACUGGCAAUCUUGGAACCGGGAGAGGUGAGGGGUACUUCGGGGGUAGGAGUGAAAUCCUGUAAUCCUCGAGGGACCACCUGUGGCGAAGGCGCCUCACCAGAACGGCUUCGACAGUGAGGGACGAAAGCUGGGGGAGCAAACCGGAUUAGAUACCCGGGUAGUCCCAGCCGUAAACGAUGCGCGUUAGGUGUAUCGGUGACCACGAGUCACCGAGGUGCCGAAGGGAAACCGUGAAACGUGCCGCCUGGGAAGUACGGUCGCAAGGCUGAAACUUAAAGGAAUUGGCGGGGGAGCAC
rnacentral:rRNA from 1 species